rnacentral:rRNA from 1 species
AUUGAACGCUGGCGGCAGGCCUAACACAUGCAAGUCGAGCGGAUGAAGGGAGCUUGCUCCUGGAUUCAGCUGCGGACGGGUGAGUAAUGCCUAGGAAUCUGCCUGGUUGUGGUGGAUGACGUCCGGAAACGGGCGCUAAUACCGCAUACGUCCUGAGGGAGAAAGUGGGGGAUCUUCGGACCUCAAGCUAUCAGAUGAGCCUAGGUCGGAUUAGCUAGUUGGUGGGGUAAAGGCCUACCAAGGCGACGAUCCGUAACUGGUCUGAGAGGAUGAUCAGUCACACUGGAACUGAGACACGGUCAAGACUCCUACGGGAGGCAGCAGUGGGGAACAUUGGACAUUGGGCGAAAGCCUGAUCCAGCCAUGCCGCGUGUGUGAAGAAGGUCUUCGGAUUGUAAAGCACUUUGAGUUGGGAGGAAGGGCAGUAAGUUAAUACCUUGCUGUUUUGACGUUACCAACAGAAUAAGCACCGGCUAACUUCGUG